UAUAAAUUGCGGUGAACGAAACAGCAGCAGUAGUCGAAGAUUAUAUCAUCGUUUCGAGUUACAGCGUUUCAGAUCUGUGCUUCCAUGGGUUAAUCUCAACCUCUUUCUUCAAUCUUAUGCAUCCUACUUGUAUUUUUCAAUUAUUAUCUGCAGUGAACUUUUCAUCGGAAAUAGUCGGCAUAUGCUCUCGAUGAUUGAACUUCAAUCUAAUAGUUUCAGCCUUGUCCGAAUUUGUUCAUGUUGGAAACUAGUUUUGUUCUGAGAGAGCUUUCUUCUUCUCGGCGCUUUUUUAAAAAUGUUUUUUAUAUCAACACUUUCGAUCAGUCACAGCUCCGUCUAAUGUGGUGAAAUACUUUUCAAUCAUUAUCUACCAUUUCAUGUUCUUUCUAUUGUUUUACCAAGUGAAUAUUGUUCAAAUUACUUUAUUUUCCUUUAUUAACUUUCAUCAUCCAGACAAAUUUCAUUAUCCUCUCAAUUUAAACUCAGAUGUUUUAUAGUAGGCCACAACAAAUUAUCUUAUUUAUUUAAUAAUUAAAUAAAUGUUUAUUAUACAAUCCCUACUAAUAUCAUAAUCUCUUCUCACCCUACCUUAAGUUGGAGAAAAUUUUGAUUUUUUUUUUGAAUUAUAACAGAGGGUAAAGUUUUAACAAUAAAUAUGAUUAGUGUGAUUUAAACCUAAAUCCUGCUAUCACAUGAGGUUCAGAUAUGUAAAUUUACGAAGUCUAUAAUUAGAAGAAUUAAUAGAAUUCUAGGUUUGCGUGUCCCUAUAUGGCUGUUGAUGAGUAUACUGUUAGGUUAUUGAAAACUGAGAGAUGUAAAAGUUAAAAAGGGGAGUGGUAUAAGAAGUCGAUGGAGAAUAAGAUAAUGGAAGGCAAGUGUGGCUAGUAAGUUGAAAGAAAUGUUGCACAAAUGCAGUUCCCUCAAGAGUUGGCCUAUAGGCAACAAAGUACUGGGUGAGGGUGAUCUGGUAUCAGGUUUGCCAUGGUUUGUAAAUCCAUAAAGAGCAUAUCAAUAUAUUGUUUUUGGGCUCAGCCGAAGGCCCCAAAAUAGAUAGUUUAUUAAAAAUUAACAGGAAGGUCCAUAAAGCAAUGAAUAAAGUAGAUAUGGUGGUGAACCAGAAAACACAUCCUUCUUACAGUGUUUACAGUGUAUAAGGUUUACAAUGAAUUGGUGAAUGGUGAGAGUGAAACCUCUGCUAUUAUGAUCAAGGAAAUUGAGCAUUUAUUAGAGGAAGAAGCCUAAUAAGCCUGGCCAAGACUUCCUCCAUCCUCUCAUCUCAUGUGCAUAUUCUGGAUAUGGAUAUGGCUUACCUACUCCUCUAAAGUACCCAAUCAUACUUUGAAUUGUCUCGUAAGGUUGUUUUAAUGGUUAUACAUAUAUCACAUUUAUACUUAUCUCACGGAUUAAUUGAAUAUUGAAAAUAGUCUCAC
rnacentral:lncRNA from 1 species